rnacentral:rRNA from 1 species
CAGCCGCCGCGGUAAUACGAAGGGGGCUAGCGUUGUUCGGAAUUACUGGGCGUAAAGGGCGCGUAGGCGGCCAUUCAAGUUAGAUGUGAAAGCCCUGGGCUCAACCUAGGAAUUGCAUUUGAUACUGUUUGGCUUGAGUUCGGGAGAGGUGAGUGGAAUUCCCAGUGUAGAGGUGAAAUUCGUAGAUAUUGGGAAGAACACCAGUGGCGAAGGCGGCUCACUGGACCGACACUGACGCUGAGGCGCGAAAGCGUGGGGAGCAAACAGGAUUAGAUACCCCAGUAGUCCCUGUCUCUUAUAC